UACGUAGGGUGCGAGCGUUAAUCGGAAUUACUGGGUUUAAAGGGUGCGUAGGCGGAUCUUUAAGUCAGUGGUGAAAUCUCUCGGCUCAACCGAGAAACUGCCAUUGAUACUAUUGAUCUUGAAUACAGUUGAGGCGGGCGGAAUGUGUCGUGUAGCGGUGAAAUGCUUAGAUAUGACACAGAACACCGAUUGCGAAGGCAGCUCGCUAAACUGUGAUUGACGCUGAGGCACGAAAGCGUGGGGAUCAAACAGG
rnacentral:rRNA from 1 species